AACGAGCGCUGGCGGCAGGCUUAACACAUGCAAGUCGAACGCCCCGCAAGGGGAGUGGCAGACGGGUGAGUAACGCGUGGGAACGUGCCCUUCGCUUCGGAAUAGCCCCGGGAAACUGGGAGUAAUACCGAAUACGCCGUAUUGGGAAAGAUUUAUCGGCGAAGGAUCGGCCCGCGUUAGAUUAGCUAGUUGGCGGUGUAAUGGACCACCAAGGCUACGAUCUAUAGCUGGUCUGAGAGGAUGAUCAGCCACACUGGGACUGAGACACGGCCCAGACUCCUACGGGAGGCAGCAGUGGGGAAUCUUGGACAAUGGGCGCAAGCCUGAUCCAGCCAUGCCGCGUGAGUGAAGAAGGCCUUAGGGUUGUAAAACUCUUUCGCCAGAGAAGAUAAUGACGGUAUCCGGAGAAGAAGCCCCGGCUAACUUCGUGCCAGCCGCCGCCGUAAGAC
rnacentral:rRNA from 1 species